rnacentral:piRNA from 1 species
UAGGAAGCUUCCACCCCAGAUGGCCAACA